CUGUUUGGAGACGUCUGUCAGGAGGUCCGGGGAGGAGCGGCACUGCCUCUCGUCGUAGUGGGAUGCGUAGUGCUUUCUGCAGGGCCAAGAGCAUGGGUGUGUGCGUGGCCAGGAGGAUCCCAUUGCCCACAGUCACCCAGGCAUUGCCCCCCCACCACACCCCCAGUACCUCUCAAAGGGCAGGCUCUUCAUCUUUGCCUUCCUCCCAUGCUCCAGCAGCUGCCUCUGUGUCCUCCCACUGCAGCAAUGGGGAAAAGGCAUGAAGACCACUAUCAGCCCCAGCCCUGGGCAUACGCACAUCCCAGGGGAGGAGAAGGGAUGCGGCAGGACCCGAGCAGUGGUCUCUCUGGGAAAAGCAGCUGUCAAGCAUCAUCCCCUUGCAUCAAGGUUUUUCUUCCUUGGUGAAUGCUUAUACUGGCAGUCAGAUAAACGACAGAAGAACUCAACACUUGUCAAGAACAUCAGCUCAUAUUAGCCAAUUUCCAAAAAGAUGACACCACAUAAAUAAAAGCCAUUCCUCCUUUGUUAUAAACGAUGUUAACAAGUGAGUGUUGAUGCUGAAAGACACUUAGCAAUCAGCAGUGUAACCUCUUGUUUUGGAGUUGAGGUUCUUUUGCUUUUUUUUUUUUCCUUAAAAGCUGAAAA